rnacentral:rRNA from 1 species
GGGAGCAUAAUGAGGGUACCGGAAGAAUAAGCCCCGGCUAACUUCGUGCCAGCAGCCGCGGUAAUACGUAGGGGGCAAGCGUUUUUGGGAAUUACUGGGCGUAAAGCGCGCGCGGGCGGUUUUAUAAGUCAGGUGUGAAAUCCCGGGGCUCAACCUGGGAACCGCUUUAGAGACGGGAAAUCUAGAGUGCGGCAGAGGGGGGUGGAAUUCCGCGUGUAGCGGUGAAAUGCGUAGAUAUGGGGAGGAACACCGGUGGCGAAG